GGCCCUAUCGUCUAACGGUUAGGACGUAUCCUUCUCAAGGAUAAAAUCAGAGUUCGAUUCUCUGUAGGGUCACCA
rnacentral:tRNA from 1 species